GACGAACGCUGGCGGCAUGCCUAAUACAUGCAAGUCGAGCGAACAGAUGAAGUGCUUGCACUUCUGACGUUAGCGGCGAACGGAUGAGUAACACGUAAGGAAUCUACCUAUAAGCGGGGGAUAACAUUCGGAAACGGGUGCUAAUACCGCAUAAUAUCUUCUUCCGCAUGGAAGAAGAUUGAAAGACGGCUCUGCUGUCACUUAUAGAUGACCUUGCGGUGCAUUAGUUAGUUGGUGGGGUAAUGGCCUACCAAGACGAUGAUGCAUAGCCGACCUGAGAGGGUGAUCGGCCACAUUGGGACUGAGACACGGCCCAAACUCCUACGGGAGGCAGCAGUAGGGAAUCUUCCGCAAUGGGCGAAAGCCUGACGGAGCAAUGCCGCGUGAGUGAAGAAGGCCUUCGGGUCGUAAAACUCUGUUAUAAGAGAAGAACAAAUUGUAGAGUAACUGCUACAGUCUUGACGAUAUCUUAUCAGAAAGCCACGGCUAACUACGUGCCAGCCGCCGCAGUAA
rnacentral:rRNA from 1 species